GAUGAACGCUGGCGGCGUGCCUAAUACAUGCAAGUAGAACGCUGAAGCUUGGUGCUUGCACCGAGCGGAUGAGUUGCGAACGGGUGAGUAACGCGUAGGUAACCUGCCUCUUAGCGGGGGAUAACUAUUGGAAACGAUAGCUAAUACCGCAUAAAAGUCGAUAUCGCAUGAUGUUGAUUUGAAAGGUGCAAUUGCAUCACUAAGAGAUGGACCUGCGUUGUAUUAGCUAGUUGGUGAGGUAACGGCUCACCAAGGCGACGAUACAUAGCCGACCUGAGAGGGUGAUCGGCCACACUGGGACUGAGACACGGCCCAGGCUCCUACGGGAGGCAGCAGUAGGGAAUCUUCGGCAAUGGGGGCAACCCUGACCGAGCAACGCCGCGUGAGUGAAGAAGGUUUUCGGAUCGUAAAGCUCUGUUGUAAGAGAAGAACGAGUGUGAGAGUGGAAAGUUCACACUGUGACGGAACUACC
rnacentral:rRNA from 1 species